rnacentral:lncRNA from 1 species
ACCCCAUCAUAAAGGCAGUAUUACAGCACUUAGCACAUCAUGGGUGCUCAAUAAAUACUACAGAACGUCAUUUCCAGUCCAUACAUGUGAGAAGACAGUGCAGGCUCUAAACCUCUGACAUCACAGGACAUGUCUCUAUGAAUGUGAAGCACAUCAAGCUGGAUGAAGACUCUGUCCCUGAAUCUGCCAACAUGACAAUGCUCUUCAAUAAUAAAAAAGACGUGUUCCAGGCUUUUGCAAAGAUGACACCUGCAUGACUGACAGCCUAUUCCUGCACACCAGUUCCUCAGCUCUAGUUACAUAGCAAUCUGUCAGCCACUUAGAUGACAUGAGCUCUUUAAGCCAUUAAAGAGUUAACAUAUUAUUUUUUUAAUCGUGCCAUAAUUCUUGGGGUGGCAAAAUUGCUCUGCACAAUAAAUAACACUACUUAAAGGUUAAUUACUUGAUUAAUGUGUCUCUUCCUAUGACACUUGCUCUUUAUUUACACAGACAGGAGAAUCUCCCACUAUAUCUUGUUAAAUCUCUUUAUUCACUUUCUUUGUUUGGUCCAAGAGAUAAUUUU